AUGUCUCCGGUGAAGGUGUUCGGGCACCCGAUGUUGACAAACGUCGCACGGGUGCUGCUCUUCCUGGAGGAGGUGGGCGCCGAGUACGAGCUCGUGCCCGUCGACUUCGUCGCCGGCGAGCACAAGAGGCCCCAACACGUCCAGCUAAACCCGUUUGCGAAGAUGCCUGGGUUCCAAGAUGGCGAUCUCGUCCUGUUCGAGUCGCGCGCCAUCGCGAAGUACAUCCUCCACAAGUACGGGGGGACAGCCGGCCUGGACCUCCUCGGAGAAAACAGCGGAAUCGAAGAAUUAGCAAUGGUGGACGUGUGGACGGAGGUGGAGGCCCAGCAGUACUACCCGGCCAUCUCGCCCGUGGUGUUCGAGUGCAUCAUCAUUCCCUUCAUCAUCCCUGGCGGUGGCGCGGCGCCGAACCAGACCGUCGUGGACGAGAGCCUGGAGCGGCUGAGGGGUGUGCUGGGGAUCUACGAGGCCCGGCUGGAGAAGAGCAGGUACUUGGCCGGGGACUCCAUCAGCUUCGCCGAUCUGAACCACAUUCCAUUCACCUUCUACUUCAUGACCACCCCGUACGCCAAGGUGUUUGAUGAGUACCCCAAGGUGAAGGCCUGGUGGGAGAUGCUCAUGGCGAGACCGGCGGUGCAGAGGGUCUGCAAGCAUAUGCCUACCGAGUUUAAGCUACGUGCGCAGUACUAG
rnacentral:rRNA from 1 species